AGUGGGGAAUAUUGGACAAUGGGCGCAAGCCUGAUCCAGCCAUGCCGCGUGAGUGAUGAAGGUCUUAGGAUUGUAAAGCUCUUUCACCGGAGAAGAUAAUGACGGUAUCCGGAGAAGAAGCCCCGGCUAACUUCGUGCCAGCAGCCGCGGUAAUACGAAGGGGGCUAGCGUUGUUCGGAAUUACUGGGCGUAAAGCGCACGUAGGCGGAUAUUUAAGUCAGGGGUGAAAUCCCAGAGCUCAACUCUGGAACUGCCUUUGAUACUGGGUAUCUUGAGUAUGGAAGAGGUAAGUGGAAUUGCGAGUGUAGAGGUGAAAUUCGUAGAUAUUCGCAGGAACACCAGUGGCGAAGGCGGCUUACUGGUCCAUUACUGACGCUGAGGUGCGAAAGCGUGGGGAGCAAA
rnacentral:rRNA from 1 species